GUACGAGUCAGAGGAGAGAUGAGUGUGAAUAAAAACACAAGGAAAUCAUAGAAUAGAGACGCAGACUUAGAGAAUGCACUUGUGGACACCACGGGGGAGGGAGAUGACAGGAUGAAUUGAGAGUAGCAUUGACAUAUGUACACUACCACGUGUAAAGUAGCUGGUGGGAAGCUGCUGCUUAGCACAGGGAGCUCAGCUCGGUGCUCUAUGAUGACCUAGAGGGUGGGAUAAGGGUGUGGGAGGAAAGCUCAAGUGGGAAGGGAUAUAUGUAUAUUUACAACUGAUUCACACAACAUGGUAAAGCAAUUAUCCUCCAAUUAAAAGAACUAAAAAUUUUUUUAAAGAAACAUGCAAGAAAAUAUCCUUCAAUUUCUCUUAAUUACAUGUUCACUUUGUUUCUGAAGAUCUUUGCUUGAUUCUUUCCUUAAGUUCCUAAGAGAUUUUUCACUUAGUUUUUGUUUCUUUUCUUACCUUUCCAUGGGAGAAUUCAGCACUUUCCAGCUCACCAUUUUGCUGACAUCUCUGUACGUGUUAAAUUUUAAUUACCUUCAGAUUCCACUGUGUCACUCACUGUGCCAUAAUUUCCCUAACUCCUCCCAAUUUAUUAUAAUUUAACUUUUCCUUGACAGGUUUUUCUUUUAUGGAUAAUGUUGAGAAAGAUAAUAAAUUAAAUAAAAUAUUUAUCAUUUUGGGGGAGUUACAUUGUGAUAGUUCUUUAAAAGUUAUAUACUGGGUGAAAGAUAUAACCACCCCCCACCCCCACCCUUGGUCUGUUUGCACACUGCAAAAACUAAUAAUUAACCCCCACUAAGAUCCUUGCCAGAGUGUCUUUUUUUGUUGUUGUUACCUUUUUCAGGAUUGCAUUCUUGUCAGGACUGAAUGCUCUUAUUAUUAAGCAAUGAAGAAGAAACAGGAUUUUUUUAUCAUGAAAAAAAGUUGGGGUGUUACCUUCCUGUUAUUGAUGACCCAAGAAGGCAGAAGAAAAAGAAAGCAGCUCCUGUAGUUUGUGGAGCAACAGGUAAUGGAUGCAAAUGCCAGUGUCUGGUACUUAAUGACCAUCACUUCUUUCCUGUAUGUUCUCUUAGUUCAGUUCAGUUCAGUUCAGUCACUCAGUCAAGUCCAACUCUUUGCAACCCCAAGAAUCUUAGCACACCAGACCUCCCUGUCCAUCACCAACUCCCGGAGUUCACCGAAACUCAUGUGCAUAGAGUCGGUGAUGCCAUCCAGCCAUCUUAUCCUCGGUCAUCUCCUUCUCCUCCUGCCUCCAAUCCCUCCCAGCAUCAGGGUC
ensembl:lncRNA